UUGGAGGGCAAGUCUGGUGCCAGCAGCCGCGGUAAUUCCAGCUCCAAUAGCGUAUAUUAAAGUUGUUGCAGUUAAAAAGCUCGUAGUUGAAUUUCGGGAUCAAUUUGCCGGUCGAGACCUCUGGUACGUACUUGUAUUAUUGAUUUCUUUCAUUCUGAUAAAUCAUUGAUGUCAUUAAUUUGAUGACUUUGAGGAAUCGGAACUUUUACUUUGAAAAAUUAGAGUGUUUAAAGCAGGCUUAUUAGGCUUGAAUACAUUAGCAUGGAAUAAUGAAAUAGGACGAUUGAUCCUAUUUUUGUUGGUUUCUAGGAUUGACGUAGUGAUUAAUAGGGAUAGUUGGGGGCAUUAGUAUUCAAUUGUCAGAGGUGAAAUUCUUGGAUUUAUUGAAGACUAACUACUGCGAAAGCAUUUGCCAAGGAUGUUUUCAUUAAUCAAGAACGAAGGUUAGGGGAUCGAAGACGAUCAGAUACCGUCGUAGUCUUAACCAUAAACUAUGCCGACUAGGGAUCGGAUGAUGUUAAUUUUUUAAUGACUC
rnacentral:rRNA from 1 species